CCGGAUGGCCUUGAGGUUAGAGUGCCCGCCUCCAGAGCGGGAGGCGUGGGUUCAAACCCGUCCGGG
rnacentral:tRNA from 1 species